AAAAUGAUGAUGUUAAACCCAUGAAAUUUGAUUGAAUUGUGGGAAUGAUGAAAAUGAUGAUGUUAAACCCAUGAAAUUUGAUUGAAUUGUGGGAAUGAUGGAAAUGUUGAUGUUAAACCCAUGAAAUUUGAUUGAAUUGUGGGAAUGAUGAAAAUGAUGAUGUUAAACCCAUGAAUUUUGAUUGAAUUGUGGGAAUGAUGAAAAUGUUGAUGUUAAACCCAUGAAAUUUGAUUGAAUUGUGGGAAUGAUGAAAAUGUUGUUGUUAAACCCAUGAAAUUUGAUUGAAUCAUGGGAAUGAUGAAAAUGCUGUUGUUAAACCUAUGAAAUUUGAUUGAAUUGUGUGAAUGAUGAAAAUGUUGUUGUUAAACCUAUGAAAUUUUAUUGAAUUGUGGAAAUGAUGAAAUAUUGAUGUUAAACCCAUGAAAUUUUAUUGAACUGUGUGAAUGAUGAAAAUGAUGAUGUUAAACUCAUGAAAUUUGAUUGAAUUGUCUGAAUGAUGAAAAUGUUGUUGUUAAACCUAUGAAAUUCGAUUGAAUUGUGUGAAUGAUAAAAACGUUAUUGUUACAUCUAUCAAAUUUGAUUGAAUUAUGGAAAUGAUGAAAUGUUGAUGUUAGACCCAUUAAAUUUGAUUGAAUUGUGGGUAUGAUGAAAAUGUUGUUGUUAAACCCAUGAAAUUUUAUUGAAUUGUGGGAAUGAUGAAAAUGUUGUUAUUAAACACAUGAUAUUUU
rnacentral:lncRNA from 1 species